ACAGCAGUAGCCACGGUAAUACGGGGGGGGCAAGUGUUAUUCGGAAUGACUGGGCGUAAAGGGCACGUAGGCGGUGAAAAGGGUGGAAAGUGAAAGUCGCCAAAACACUGGCGGGGUGCUUUCUUGACCAUUUCACUUGAGUGAGAUAGGGGAGAGUGGAAUUUCGUGUGGAGGGAUCAAAUCCUAAGAUAUACGAAGGAACGCCAACCGCGAAGGCAGCUCUCUGGGUCCCCACUGACGCUGGGGUGCGAAAGCAUGGGGAGCAAACAGGAUCAGAUACCCCAGUAGUCCCUGUCUCUUAUACA
rnacentral:rRNA from 1 species